UGUUUCGGCUAGGGGGCCAUCCCGGCUUACCAACCCGAUGCAAACUGCGAAUACCGGAGAAUGUUAUCACGGGAGACACACGGCGGGUGCUAACGUCCGUCGUGAAGAGGGAAACAACCCAGACCGCCAGCUAAGGUCCCAAAGUCAUGGUUAAGUGGGAAACGAUGUGGGAAGGCCCAGACAGCCAGGAUGUUGGCUUAGAAGCAGCCAUCAUUUAAAGAAAGCGUAAUAGCUCACUGGUCGAGUCGGCCUGCGCGGAAGAUGUAACGGGGCUAAACCAUGCACCGAAGCUGCGGCAGCGAACGUAUCACCCAAGACAACUUUACGGAGUUGACGAUUGACGGAGCGAAGCGACGUCAAAGCGUUCAUUAAAGUCGAGUUGGCUUAGGGAUACGUUCGUUGGGUAGGGGAGCGUUCUGUAAGCCUGUGAAGGUGGCCUGUGAGGGUUGCUGGAGGUAUCAGAAGUGCGAAUGCUGACAUAAGUAACGAUAAAGCGGGUGAAAAGCCCGCUCGCCGGAAGACCAAGGGUUCCUGUCCAACGUUAAUCGGGGCAGGGUGAGUCGACCCCUAAGGCGAGGCCGAAAGGCGUAGUCGAUGGGAAACGGGUUAAUAUUCCCGUACUUGGUGUUACUGCGAAGGGGGGACGGAGAAGGCUAUGUUGGCCGGGCGACGGUUGUCCCGGUUUAAGCGUGUAGGUGUGUGUUCCAGGUAAAUCCGGUU
rnacentral:rRNA from 1 species